CCCGCCGGCGGGAAACGGCCCCUCAGUCCGGCGCGCAGGGGGCGGGUGGGAGCCACGUGGAGGGCGGGCGCGGGGCCCCGCCUUGUCACUGGCGGGGGGAGCGGGAAGGGGGGCGGCCCCCCCGGGCUGGAGCUCGCUGCCGUGGAGCCGCACACGGGGCACGUCGCUCCUCGCGGCCCGGCCUCUCCCGCCUCCACUUCCCGUCUCCGCUGCCUCAGGUCGUGCUGGCUCAGGCGAGCAGCCGGCGCCGCCUCCUCCAGGGGGUGUGCUGGGCCUGCCUCUGCUCCUUAACCCCCUCGCGGGGGCCGCCGGAUCUGCGUGCCCGGGCUUGCGACCGCGCUGCGCCCACGGCCACGGCCCCUCCGCCUCGCCCCGCGCGCACCCCGCUCUCCGGGGCAGGGGCAGGGGCAGGGGCGCGGCCCGGGGCGUCUCUGCGGUACGUGCGGAAACGUGAAGGUGGCCUCUCGGUUACAAACGAGCAAAGGACAAAAGACUGGAGUAGUGCUGGCCCGGGCUGCUGCAGCAACUUCACUGCCGCAACAACACGUAUGAAAUCCCCCCAGGGUAGGAGCCAGCACCGCUUCCCUUGGCAGUUGGUUCCAGAUCCUAGCCGCCCUGACAGUGAACUAGCGUCUUCGGAUGUCUAAUCUGAAUCUACUCUCUAGCAACUUAUGGCCGUUAUUCCUUGUUACUCUGGGAGGUGCUCAGGGGAACAAGGUCUCUCCAAAACCCCGCUGGUCCCCCCUGGUAAGUUUAUAGAUGGUCACCAGAUCCCUCUCAGCCUUCUCUUGUGGAGGCUGAACAGGUUCAGGCCCCGUAGCCUCUCCUUGUAGGGCCUGCCCUGCUGCCCCCUGAUCAUGCGGGUGGCCUCCUCUGGACCCUCUCCAUGCUGUCCACAUCCCUCCUGAAGUGCGGCUCCCAGAACUGGACGCAGUACUCCAACUGGGACCUGACCAGUGUCGCGUAGAGGGGGAGGAUCACCUCCUUGGACCUGCUCGAGAUGCAUCUGUGGAUACACGACAAGCUGGAACAGAUCAAAUAACUUCAGGGCUCCAGAACGCUACAAGGCCAAACAAGAGAGGACCUCUGACAUGGAGCUGAAGAGCCAGGUGGCAAGAGGAAGAGGGAGAGGAAAUCUCAUCGGUGUGUGUCUGCGAGCACAUGCACACCCACACUAAGUCAACCUGCUCUAUUUAUGUAGGUUGGAAGAAAUUAGACAACUUUCUCCCAUGGUACGUGUGCUGCUACACCUAUUGACAGGCAGGCUUAUUGAACUACUCUUAUUAAACUACAGGAGAGGGUGGAAAUACCUGUAUGCUGCCCUGUCCUCAGUCAUUGUUUCCCUUUGUUUAUUGCUUGAGCAGAUGAGGUGGUAUGGUUUAGAUCACUGCUCCAGGCAUAUAAAAUUGAAGUGGGGUCAUCACCUCACUUGCAACCAUUUCAAA